GGUUUAUGAUGAAAGCAUGCGUGUCAUAUGACUCCCAGGAGAAGCUGCGUCCGGCCUGCGCAGGCUGCGUCUUGCCGCCCGUGUCAGUAUGGUGCAGUGCAUUCUGGGAAGUGAUCGUGACUAAAAUCUGAAACC
rnacentral:snoRNA from 1 species